UCACCUGUUCCCAUUCCGAACACAGAAGUUAAGCCCACCAGCGCCAAUGGUACUGCGAAAGCGGGAGAGUAGGUCGCCGCCAGUC
rnacentral:rRNA from 1 species